UGAAUGUCAAUUAGUUUUUCUAGGUUCCAGGCACAUCUGAGAUUAAUAUCAGCCAGAACUUGAGCAUUGUUGCCAAACUGUAAGCCCCUUAUGCUGACACAUGGACCACAGGAAGGGACCUUUCUCAGUGCCAGGUAGCAACAGAACGACCACUCCCUCCAGUGUUUCUCCUCCUUUGCGGCAUUUUGGAAGAGUGGGAGUUGAGGAGGGUGAGGAAUCAGCCUGGAAGAACACGAAUAAGCAUAAAGCAAUUGCAACGCGCCAGGCAAGCUUCACGAGGCCUAGGAGUCAUGGGAUGUCUGCGCCCUGCUGAGUUCUCAGGACCCAGGACCACACCUGGCCCAGAGCACGCGAUCAAUAAUUAUCUACUGAACUAAUUAACCUUGAUGCUAUUCAGAAGCACUGACUGUGCUGCCUGCGGGUGGAGCGAGGACUUUCCUACCACGGCAGGAUUACAGACUGGACCAUUCACUCCCUGAUGCGUUCAUUCCCGAGGUAUUAAUUGUGCCGAGCGCGGUGCUGGGCUCUGGGGCAGCAGAGAGCUCACAUUUAAGGGAGCGUACUGUGCACCAGCUGCCGUUGAAAGCACGUUCACGGACGCAGUAUUAACUCAUCGAACUCUUUCACAAAAUGAGGGAUUGCUCUUUGGCUCAUUUUGCAGAUGAGGAAAUAGAGGCAC